UACGAGGGGGGCGAGCGUUGUUCGGAAUUAUUGGGCGUAAAGGGUGCGUAGGCGGUUUGGUAAGUCUGAUGUGAAAUCUAUGGGCUCAACUCAUAGUCUGCAUCGGAAACUGCCGGGCUUGAGUGUGGGAGAGGUGAGUGGAAUUCCUGGUGUAGCGGUGAAAUGCGUAGAUAUCAGGAGGAACACCUGUGGCGAAGGCGAGUCUCUGGACAUUUCCUGACGCUGAGGCACGAAAGCCAGGGGGAGCAAACGGG
rnacentral:rRNA from 1 species